rnacentral:pre_miRNA from 1 species
UAAGUUGACGUAGUCCCAGGGUUUUCACAAUCUAUUCAAGACUUGUGGUUACGUCAGCUUUGC